CUAUAGGUAAGCUAAUAUAAAGCUAUUGGGCCCAUAACCCAAAAAUAGGUAAACUUCUAUAGA
rnacentral:tRNA from 1 species